rnacentral:rRNA from 1 species
UACGUAGGGUGCAAGCGUUAAUCGGAAUUACUGGGCGUAAAGCGUGCGCAGGCGGUUUUGUAAGACUGUCGUGAAAUCCCCGGGCUCAACCUGGGAAAGGCGAUGGUGACUGCAAGGCUAGAGUUUGGCAGAGGGGGGUAGAAUUCCACGUGUAGCAGUGAAAUGCGUAGAGAUGUGGAGGAACACCGAUGGCGAAGGCAGCCCCCUGGGCCAACACUGACGCUCAGGCACGAAAGCGUGGGGAGCAAACAGG